rnacentral:rRNA from 1 species
GACGAACGCUGGCGGCGUGCCUAAUACAUGCAAGUUGAGCGCUGAAGGUUUGUACUUGUCCCAACUGGGUGAGCAGCGCACGGGUGAGUAACGCGUGGGGAAUCUGCCUUUGAGCGGGGGACAACAUUUGGAAACGAAUGCUAAUACCGCAUAAAAACUUUAAACACGAGUUUGAAGUUUGAAAGAUGCAAUUGCAUCACUCAAAGAUGAUCCCGCGUUGUAUUAGCUAGUUGGUGAGUUAAAAGCUCACCAAGGCGAUGAUACAUAGCCGACCUGAGAGGGUGAUCGGCCACAUUGGGACUGAGACACGGCCCAAACUCCCACGGGAGGCAGCAGUAGGGAAUCUUCGGCAAUGGACGAAAGUCUGACCGAGAAACGCCGAGGGAGUGAAGAAGGUUUUCGGAUCGUAAAACUCUGUUGGUAGAGAAGAACGUUGGUGCGAGUGGAAAGCUCAUCAAGUGACGGUAACUACUCAGAAAGGGACGGCUAACUACGUG